rnacentral:rRNA from 1 species
GUGGGGAAUUUUGGACAAUGGGCGCAAGCCUGAUCCAGCAAUGCCGCGUGCAGGAAGAAGGCCUUCGGGUUGUAAACUGCUUUUGUCAGGGAAGAAAUCUUCUGGGCUAAUACCCCGGGAGGAUGACGGUACCUGAAGAAUAAGCACCGGCUAACUACGUGCCAGCAGCCGCGGUAAUACGUAGGGUGCGAGCGUUAAUCGGAAUUACUGGGCGUAAAGCGUGCGCAGGCGGCUUUGCAAGACAGAUGUGAAAUCCCCGGGCUCAACCUGGGAACUGCAUUUGGGACUGCAAGGCUAGAGUACGGCAGAGGGGGAUGGAAUUCCGCGUGUAGCAGUGAAAUGCGUAGAUAUGCGGAGGAACACCAAUGGCGAAGGCAAUCCCCUGGGCCUGUACUGACGCUCAUGCACGAAAGCGUGGGGAGCAAACAGGAUUAGAUACCCGGGUAGUCC